rnacentral:rRNA from 1 species
UACAGAGGAUGCAAGCGUUAUCCGGAAUGAUUGGGCGUAAAGCGUCUGUAGGUGGCUUUUUAAGUCCGCCGUCAAAUCCCAGGGCUCAACUCUGGACAGGCGGUGGAAACUACCAAGCUGGAGUACGGUAGGGGCAGAGGGAAUUUCCGGUGGAGCGGUGAAAUGCGUAGAGAUCGGAAGGAACGCCCGUGGCGAAAGCGAGGUCCUGGACGUUUUCUGACGCUGAGACGCGAAAGCCAGGGGAGCGAACGGG